rnacentral:rRNA from 1 species
CGGAUAUUCCAUUUUACAUGGAUAACUGUGGUAAUUCUAGAGCUAAUACAUGAAGAAGUGUUCCAACCUCACCUCGGUGACGGAAGGAUCGCAUUUAUUUUCACAAGACCAAUGAUCCAUUCAACUGUCGGUUAGUGGCCUCGGCUGCUCUCCGAUGGGGAUCUAUCAAUACACACUCCGUGUGCAUUGAAAUGCUCAAGAUGACUCUAAUUAACUGAGCAAAUCGUAUGGCCUCUGAGCCGACGAUGUAUCCCUCAAGCAACUGCCUUAUCAACUGUCGAUGGUAGAUUAUGCGCCUACCAUGGUUGUAACGGGUAACGGGGAAUCAGGGUUCGAUUCCGGAGAGGGAGCCUUAAAAACGGCUACCACAUCCAAGGAAGGCAGCAGGCGCGCAAAUUACACAAUCCCGGUACGGGGAUGUAGUGACGAAAAAUAACAAUACGGGACUCUAUUGAGGCCCCGUAAUUGGAAUGAGUACAAUUUAAAUCCUUUAACGAGGAUCUAUUGGAGGGCAAGUCUGGUGCCAGCAGCCGCGGUAAUUCCAGCUCCAAUAGCGUAUAUUAAAGUUGCUGCGGUUAAAAAGCUCGUAGUUGGAUUUCAGUCUAACCUAUGGGGUCCACUGUCAAAGGGUUCUCCUAUCAGCGUAACUUUAUCUCAGCUUAACUUCGGUUAAGAUCUGCAGUAAAGUCUAUGUCUGUGGGGGUAACCUGGUGGCUACUCUUAUAGUGUUUCGACAGAAACACUCCGAUUUUUGCUAUCGAUGCUCUUCAUUGAGUGUCGAUUCAAGCGAUCGGAACAUUUACCUUGAAAAAAUCAGCGUGCUCAAAGCAGGCGUCCCAAACCUCGCAAGAGGUGCCUUAAAACGGAUACUUGGAUUCCAUCUUAACCGAUGUGUUUUCCUUUAUCCUAACCUUGAAUGAUCUUGCAUGGAAUAAUGGAAUAGGACCUUGGUUCUAUUUUGUUGGUCUUAAGAACACAAGGUAAUGAUUAAGAGGGACAGACGGGGGCAUUUGUAUUGCGGCGCUAGAGGUGAAAUUCUUGGACCGUCGCAAGACAAACUACAGCGAAAGCAUUUGCCAAGAAUGUUUUCAUUAAUCAAGAACGAAAGUUAGAGGUUCGAAGGCGAUCAGAUACCGCCCUAGUUCUAACCAUAAACGAUGCCAACCAGCGAUCAUUCUGAGUAACAUUUACAUGACUCGAAUGGAAGCUUCCGGGAAACCAAAGUUUUUGGGUUCCGGGGGAAGUAUGGUUGCAAAGCUGAAACUUAAAGGAAUUGACGGAAGGGCACCACCAGGAGUGGAGCUUGCGGCUUAAUUUGACUCAACACGGGAAAACUCACCCGGCCCGGACACUGAGAGGAUUGACAGAUUGAGAGCUCUUUCUUGAUUCAGUGGGUGGUGGUGCAUGGCCGUUCUUAGUUGGUGGAGUGAUUUGUCUGGUUAAUUCCGAUAACGAACGAGACUCUAUCCUACUAAAUAGACUUGCAGUUUACACUGCAGUAUUCCCCCACGGUUAACCUGCGGGUGGUUUCCAUCUUUCAUACCUUCGGGUGUGCGAGCUCUGGUAAUCGUCAGCCCGUAGAAUUAAUCUGUGGUAAGGAUGCUGUGGCACUGUAAGGACUUCUUAGAGGGACAAGCGGCGUCCGCAGCCGCACGAAACAGAGCAAUAACAGGUCUGUGAUGCCCUUAGAUGUCCGGGGCCGCACGCGUGCUACACUGAAGUGGUCACCGUGCAUAAAAUUUCCUGCUCCGAAAGGAGUGGGUAACCCCUUGAACCCAUUUCGUGAUGGGGAUUGGGCAUUGUAAUUAUUGCCCAUGAACGAGGAAUUCCCAGUAAGCGUGAGUCAUUAGCUUGCGUUGAUUACG